GACGAACGCUGGCGGCGUGCCUAAUACAUGCAAGUUGAGCACUGAAGACUGGUACUUGUACCGGUUGGAUGAGCAGCGAACGGGUGAGUAACGCGUGGGUAACCUGCCCUAUAGAGGGGGAUAACUAGAGGAAACUUUAGCUAAUACCGCAUAAAAUCUAAUAACACAUGUUAUAAGAUUGAAAGUGCCAAUUGGUACACUAUAGGAUGGACCCGCGUUGUAUUAGCUAGUUGGUGAGGUAAAGGCUCACCAAGGCGAUGAUACAUAGCCGACCUGAGAGGGUGAUCGGCCACCCUGGGACUGAGACACGGCCCAGACUCCUACGGGAGGCAGCAGUAGGGAAUCUUCGGCAAUGGACGAAAGUCUGACCGAGCAACGCCGCGUGAGUGAAGAAGGUUUUCGGAUCGUAAAACUCUGUUGUAAGAGAAGAACACCAGUAAGAGUGGAAAGCUUACUGGCUGACGGUAUCUUACCAGAAAGCCACGGCUAACUACGUGCCAGCAGCCGCCGUAA
rnacentral:rRNA from 1 species